CCUACGGGAGGCAGCAGUAGGGAAUUUUGCGCAAUAGGCGAAAGCCUGACGCAGCAACGCCGCGUGAACGAGACGCCCUUCGGGGUGUAAAGUUCUGUCAGUGGGGACGAAAAACGACGGUACCCACAGAGGAAGCACCGGCUAACUCCGUGCCAGCAGCCGCGGUAAUACGGAGGGUGCAAGCGUUGUCCGGAAUCAUUGGGCGUAAAGAGUUCGUAGGCGGCAUGUAAAGUCAGGUGUUAAAGGCGCGGGCUCAACCUGUGUAUGGCACUUGAUACUUGGAAGAUGGAGUGCGGUAGAGGUAGAGAGAAUUCCUGGUGUAGCGGUGAAAUGCUUAGAGAUCAGGAGGAACAUCGGUGGCGUAAGCGCUUUACUGGGCCGUAAUUGACGCUGAGGAGCGAAAGCCAGGGUAGCAAAUGGGAUUAGAUACCCCGGUAGUC
rnacentral:rRNA from 1 species